AUUGAACGCUGGCGGCAUGCCUUACACAUGAAAGUCGAACGGCAGCACGGGUGCUUGCACCUGGUGGCGAGUGGCGAACGGGUGAGUAAUACAUCGGAACGUACCUUAUCGUGGGGGAUAACGCAGCGAAAGCUGUGCUAAUACCGCAUACGCCCUGAGGGGGAAAGCGGGGGAUCGAAAGACCUCGCGCGAUUAGAGCGGCCGAUGCCUGAUUAGCUUGUUGGUGGGGUAAAAGCCCACCAAGGCGACGAUCAGUAGCUGGUCUGAGAGGACGAUCAGCCACACUGGGACUGAGACACGGCCCAGAGUCCUACGGGAGGCAGCAGGGGGGAAUUUUGGACAAUGGGGGCAACCCUGAUCCAGCAAUGCCGCGUGAGUGAAGAAGGCCUUCGGGUUGUAAAGCUCUUUUGUCAGGGAAGAAACACCGGCUCUAACACAGUCCGGGAAUGACGGUACCUGAAGAAUAAGCACCGGCUAACUACGUGCCAGCCGCCGCAGUAA
rnacentral:rRNA from 1 species